rnacentral:rRNA from 1 species
AACGAACGCUGGCGGCAUGCCUAACACAUGCCAGUCGAACGAGACCUUCGGGUCUAGUGGCGCACGGGUGCGUAACGCGUGGGAACCUGCCCUUAGGUUCGGAAUAACUCCCCGAAAGGGGUGCUAAUACCGGAUAAUGUCUUCGGACCAAAGAUUUAUCGCCUUUGGAUGGGCCCGCGUUGGAUUAGCUAGUUGGUAGGGUAAAAGCCUACCAAGGCGACGAUCCAUAGCUGGUCUGAGAGGAUGAUCAGCCACACUGGGACUGAGACACGGCCCAGACUCCUACGGGAGGCAGCAGUGGGUAAUAUUGGACAAUGGGCGAAAGGCUGAUCCAGCAAUGCCGGGUGAGUGAUGAAGGCCUUGGGGUUGUAAAGCUCUUUUACCCGGGAUGAUAAUGACAGUACCGGGAGAAUAAGCUCCGGCUAACUCCGUG